UCCGCGCCGCUUCCGCAAAGGCGCCUAUUUAGGACGCGGCGGCGGGCGGGAGCGGCUGGGGCUGCGCUCAUGGCUGCCCUGAGCGACGAGCUGCUAGACGGCUACAUGUACCCGGCAUGCCCCCCCUACUCGUACCCGUUUCCCUACUUGCCCGGAGCCAAGGGCGUGGCGGGCGGUGGCGGCUGGCGGCCCCGGGAGGGGGGCUGUCCUCCGGGCUCCUCCCCGGCCGGCGCGGCGGCCCUGUCUCUCCCAGGCUACGGGCAGCUCACGGCCGCCGAAUACAGCUACCAGCGGGCGCAGCUCAUGGCGCUCCUGUCUCAGGUGAGCCCGGCCCCGCGGCCCCGCAGGGCCAACAGCCGCGACGCGGCCGUGCAGGUGAACCCGCGCCGCGACGUGGCGGUGCAGUGCUCGCUGGGGCGGCGCACGCUGCCGCGCAGAGCCCGCGACCCGGCGCCCCCUGCCGGCCGGAUCCCUGAGGGCGCGGCGUCCCCGCCGUCGGCGCGCGGGGCCCCGGAGCAGAGCAGCUCUGCCGGUGGCCGGCGGCCCGUGCGCUUCCCGCGCUUCGUCGCCGUGUACUCGCCCGUGGCCGCGCGCCCCCUCACCACCUUCCUGGAAGGGGCCGGGGCCGAGGCGGGCGAGCGGAGACCCGGGGCCCCGGGGGACGAGCGGGAAGCGUCCCCGUCGAGGCCCCGCGCUCCCGAAGAGGGGGAGGUGGCGGCCGGGACGGAGGAGAGCGGGGCUCAGGCCGCGGCGCAGGAGAGCCGGGAGCUGCCCACCGACGGGCCCGGGCUGCCCCCGCGGGAGGCACCGGACCACCCCCAGCCGGGGGGGAAGGCGGAGGACGCCGCGGGCGAGCAACCGUCGACGGAGAGCCCGGAAGUGGACAAGGAGCGUCUGCGCUUCCAGUUCUUAGAGCAGAAAUAUGGCUAUUAUCACUGCAAGGACUGUAACAUCCGGUGGGAGAGUGCCUAUGUGUGGUGUGUACAGGGCACAAACAAGGUCUACUUCAAGCAAUUCUGCAGAAGUUGUCAGAAGUCUUAUAAUCCUUAUCGGGUGGAGGAUAUCACCUGUCAAAGACACCAAAGCACUACUCCACCGUCCAUGAUUCUGGGGGUCCAAACAGGCAUCCAUGCAUGUUCAUUUCCACUGUGAUUGACUGAGAACUUUUUCAGAAAGGGUUCGGAAAAAUGAUAGCAUCAAAACUUCCUCCAGUGAGGGGGGGGAGCCAGGCUUGAACCCUGGGUCUUGUCCAUGACAAAGGAGACAGACCAUCGAGGACCAACAUUUCAUGGAUUAAAGGCUUUGUAAAACUUAAGCACAUACUACUUUUAAAAGUAGGCCAUGACAAAAUAUUGCUGGGCCACACAUGGUAAAUGAAAACCAGUUUGUCUGAUAUGGGUAAGUAGUCUAUAAAUUAAGACAGGUCACUUACUGCUAGAAUUUCCAUUUGCUAAGCAAGAAGGUGAUCGGGUCACAAAAAUACAAAAGAAGAAAAAGACCAAGAAUUAGUGUAAGAAAUCAUUUUAACUAGGGUCACAGAUGUCCCAGGCAAACUGAAGAACAUUUAUUUAUACCCCAAAGAAAAAUUUAUGAUAUUUCCAGAAUAAAACUUUAGACAUCUACUAUGACAAACCCAGGUUUU